CGGAGGGAUCAUUAAAGAGUUCUAUAACUCCCAAACCCAUGUGAACAUACCUAACGUUGCCUCGGCAGGUCGCACCUACCUUGUAGCACCCUACCCUGUAGGGCCUACCCGGGAGGUGCGGGUAAGCCUGCCGGCGGCCCACUAAACUCUGUUUGAUAUUGAAUUCUGAACCUAUAACUAAAUAAGUUAAAACUUUCAACAACGGAUCUCUUGGUUCUGGCAUCGAUGAAGAACGCAGCGAAAUGCGAUAAGUAAUGUGAAUUGCAGAAUUCAGUGAAUCAUCGAAUCUUUGAACGCAUAUUGCGCCCAUUAGUAUUCUAGUGGGCAGGACCGUUCGAGCGUCAUUUCAACCCUUAAGCCUUCGUUGCUUAGUGUUGGGAGCCUACGGCAACGUAGCUCCUCAAAGUUAGUGGCGGAGUUGGUUCACACUCUAGACGUAGUAAUUUUUUAUCUCGCCUAUUAGUUGGACUAAUCCCCUGCCGUAAAACCCCCAAUUUAUCAAGGUUGACCUCGAAUCGGUUCAGACAAACUCGCUAAAUUGAAGCAUCUUAGUCAGCGAAGGAAAAGAAACCAACAGGGAUUGCCCUAGUAACGGCGAGUGAAGCGGCAACAGCUCAAAUUUGAAAUCUGG
rnacentral:rRNA from 1 species